rnacentral:rRNA from 1 species
UACGGAGGGUGCAAGCGUUAUCCGGAUUCACUGGGUUUAAAGGGUGCGUAGGAGGGCAGGUAAGUCAGUGGUGAAAUCUCUGGGCUUAACCCAGAAACUGCCGUUGAUACUAUUUGUCUUGAAUAUAGUGGAGGUGAGCGGAAUAUGUCAUGUAGCGGUGAAAUGCUUAGAUAUGACAUAGAACACCAAUUGCGAAGGCAGCUUGCUACACUAUUAUUGACACUGAGGCACGAAAAGCGUGGGGAUCAAACAGG